AUGUUAUAAAGAAAGGCAGAGGGAUUAGACCCGAUGAAGCCUUAGCAACCCUUCGAUUUAUCGAAGAAGGUGCUGCAUUCUACCACGCCUAUCGUGGAAAGAUAACAC
rfam:Flavobacterium sp. FPG59 Contig_354, whole genome shotgun sequence.